CCAGCUUAAAACCCAAAGGACUUGGCGGUGCCCCACCCACCUAGAGGAGCCUGUUCUAUAAUCGAUAACCCCCGCUUAACCUCACCACUUCUUGCCAAUACCGCCUAUAUACCACCGUCGCCAGCCCACCCCGUGAGGGAAAGUAGGCACAAUGAUUACCACCAAAACGUCAGGUCAAGGUGUAGCGUAUGAAGUGGAAAGAAAUGGGCUACAUUCUCUAACUUAGAGCACACGAAAAAUCAUAUGAAAUUAGAUUAGAAGGAGGAUUUAGUAGUAAAAAGAAACAAUAGUGUUCUUUUUAAAUUGGCCCUGGGGCGCGCACACACCGCCCGUCACCCUCUUCAACUAAACCAACACAAUUUUUAAUACACAAAAUAAGUAAAAGAAGAGGUAAGUCGUAACAUGGUAAGUAUACCGGAAGGUGUGCUUGGAAUA
rnacentral:rRNA from 1 species